AGAUGAUUGGGGUGAAGUCGUAACAAGGUAGCCGUAUCGGAAGGUGCGGCUGGAUCACCUCCUUUCUAAGGAUAAUGCAGUCCUUG
rnacentral:rRNA from 1 species